CGUAGGGACCGAGCGUUGUCCGGAUUCAUUGGGCGUAAAGAGCUCGUAGGCGGCCACUCAAGUCGAAUGUGAAACCUCGAGGCUUAACCUCGAGCCUGCAUUCGAUACUGGGCGGCUAGAGUCUGGUAGGGGGAUCUGGAAUUCCUGGUGUAGCGGUGGAAUGCGCAGAUAUCAGGAGGAACACCGGUGGCGAAGGCGGGAUCCUGGGCCAGUACUGACGCUGAGGAGCGAAAGCGUGGGGAGCAAACAGGAUUAGAUACCCUGGUAGUCCACGCCGUAAACGAUGGGCGCUAGGUGUGGGAGGUCAUCGACUCCUUCCGUGCCGCAGCUAACGCAUCAAGCGCCCCGCCUGGGGAGUACAGCCGCAAGGCUA
rnacentral:rRNA from 1 species